AUGUCACCAAAUUCCAUCAAUAAAGUACCAACACACACAUCAAUCUUGGUUCGGGCUGUUUUCAGAAAUGGUCUGCCUAAAAUGACUAGAGCAUAUACAUGGGAGACUUCAUCCUCCAUUUCCAAAACAUAAAAAUUUGUAGGGAAAAUCAGUUCACCAACCCGAAUUAAGACAUCAUUUAUGUAACUUGUUAGGUGGGCAAUACUUCUAUUAGCCAAC
rnacentral:lncRNA from 1 species